rnacentral:rRNA from 1 species
GAGUUUGAUCGUGGCUCAGGACGAACGCUGGCGGCGUGCCUAACACAUGCAAGUCGAGCGGAGACAGUGAGUAGCUUGCUAUGAGCUGUUUUAGCGGCGGACGGGUGAGUAACGCGUGAGCAACCUUUCCCAGACAGGGGAAUAACACACCGAAAGGUGUACUAAUACCGCAUAAGACCACGGGAUCACAUGGUUCUGGGGUAAAAGAUUUAUCGGUUUGGGUGGGCUCGCGUCCGAUUAGGUAGUUGGUGAGGUAACGGCCCACCAAGCCGACGAUCGGUAGCCGACCUGAGAGGGUGAUCGGCCACAUUGGGACUGAGACACGGCCCAAACUCCUACGGGAGGCAGCAGUGGGGAAUAUUGGGCAAUGGGGGGAACCCUGACCCAGCAACGCCGCGUGGAGGAAGAAGGUUCUCGGAUCGUAAACUCCUGUCCUUGGAGACGAGUAGAAGACGGUAUCCAAGGAGGAAGCCCCGGCUAACUACGUGCCAGCCGCCGCAGUAAC